UACGUAGGGGGCGAGCGUUGUCCGGAUUUAUUGGGCGUAAAGAGCGUGUAGGCGGCCAGGUGGGUCUGCUGUGAAAACUCGAGGCUCAACCUCGAGACGUCGGCGGAAACCAUCUGGCUAGAGUCCGGAAGAGGAGAGUGGAAUUCCUGGUGUAGCGGUGAAAUGCGCAGAUAUCAGGAGGAACACCAACGGCGAAGGCAGCUCGCUGGGACGGUACUGACGCUGAGGCGCGAAAGCGUGGGGAGCGAACAGG
rnacentral:rRNA from 1 species